UAGUCAUAUGCUUGUCUCAAAGAUUAAGCCAUGCAUGUCUAAGUAUAAACAAAUUAUACUGUGAAACUGCGAAUGGCUCAUUAAAUCAGUUAUAGUUUAUUUGAUGAUUGCUUACUACAUGGAUAACUGUGGUAAUUCUAGAGCUAAUACAUGCAUUAAAGCCCUGACUUUUGUGGGAGGGGUGUAUUUAUUAGAUUUGAAACCAAUUUUUUUGGUGAUUCAUAAUAACUGCUCGAAUCGCAUGCCCUUGUGGCGGCGAUGCUUCAUUCAAAUAU
rnacentral:rRNA from 1 species